CCUACGGGAGGCAGCAGUGAGGAAUAUUGGUCAAUGGGCGCAAGCCUGAACCAGCCAAGUAGCGUGAAGGAUGACUGCCCUACGGGUUGUAAGCUUCUUUUAUAAAGGAAUAAGGUGAGGCACGUGUGCCUUUUUGUGUGUACUUUAUGUAUGAGGCUCGACUAACGCCGUGCCAGCAGCCGCGGUAAUACUGAGGAUGCGAGCGUUAUCCAGAUUUAUUGGGUUUAAAGGGUGCGUAGGCGGCCGUUUAAGUCAGCGGGGAACGUCUGUGGCGCAACCAUAGAAUUGCCGUUGAAACUGGGAGGCUUGAGUAUGUGUGAGGCAGGCGGAAUGCGUGGUGUAGCGGUGAAAUGCUUAGAUAUCACGCAGAACCCCGAUUGCGAAGGCAGCCUGCCAGGCCAUGACUGACGCUGAUGCACGAAAGCGUGGGGAUCAAACAGGAUUAGAUACCCGUGUAGUC
rnacentral:rRNA from 1 species